GAAAAAAAAAAAGAGAUUUUUUGUUGUUUCUUUUCAAAUCGUUAUCGUGUGUGACCUCCUAUUUAUUUUUCGUCAGUUGUUUGUUUUCUUACCUGGCUGCGUAGGCAUUCUUUUCUCCCAUUCUUUCGGUAGUUGUCUAAGCAAUAUAGCGUAUAAUACAAGUUUUCCUUUGAAUUAUUAUUCAAAUAUAUACGAGCUGAGACUAUGCGCUAACGCAAGAAACGUCAAGAGGCAGGAAAAAGACGAGGAGCUUCUUACGAAGACGAGGUAAAUAAAAGAUAGGUUAGACGCGUGCUACACACACACACACCAGAAGAUUCUUUUGCGCCGUGUGGCUCUCUGAUUAUGCGAGGGCACACCUGAUAUUUUAAAUAUUCCGCUGCUGCAAGUCGCGGCCGCGUUUAAUAUGCAUGUGUGUGUUUGACCUUGCGGGCAAACGCCUCCUCCUUCUUCCUCUCUCAUCAUUACACAAAGAAGAGGGAGACACGAACGAGGCUUUUAUAACAAAGCAGCAGGAACGAUCAUCAUACUACCCACACACUGCGUGCCCAGAUCAAAUACGUGAAAAAAGAAAAAAGAAAAAACCGUCGAUCGUAAGCAAAAAUAUUACCGAGUCGUGCAGCGCAAUGCUAUUACAAAAAGUAUUUGCGUGUGUGUGUAAUAAGAUCCGCUUUUUUUUCCCCCCCUCCUCGAUUGACCUGCGAAUUACAUCCGAUCCUUUGGGCAUACCAUCAUCGGCGUAAAGUCCGCUGAUUCGUGUAGGAUGCGGCAGCAAAGUUCAUUUCCGCCACGUGAAUAGGAGGAAAUGGCGUCAGUGCUACAGAUUGCAGAAAAAAAAGUGGCAAUGAACGCAAGGUUAGAUUUAUAAAACAGACGACCAAAUUCUCUUUAUUUUAUUUUAUUUUAAUAUUUUUAUUUCCAUUUCUCCUAUUUAAAGAAUUAUUUUUGUUUGUUAUCAAAAUGGACGAAAGAAUGUUACUAGUUCCUGCCACGGCGGGAGCAGGUUAUCUCUAGAUAUUUGUUGGUCUAAUUAUUGUAUGCAAUAGCUAUAGGCUUUGUGCUUAUGCAACAGAGGGCAGGGUCCAAUUACCAUGCGGGUGUGCACGUAUUCUAAUAAGCCUUCACAUUUCUUUUUGCUUUUACUUUUUUUCUUCUUUUUACUAGGCUCCGCCAUCAUAUCAUAACAAAAGACUAACACACACACACGCACUUGUUGGGGCCGAGUAAUUGGAGCUUUGCUCGUGCCCUCCAAGCUUAUAGACACACAAUACCUUGACGGUAGAAACGAUAAGAAAAGAAAAAAUAGAGUUCCAAAUUUUCUCUUUCUUUCGUACAUCUUGUAUUUCGAAAUAUAAUUGCCUUUCGUUGUGUUCUUUUUUUUCCCGCUUACAACCCACAUGAUGGCGUAUAAUAGGAAGAGAGCACCUUCUUUUUGAGAAUUGUGCACUUGCUCUGAUUUUCUGCUGGCGGGGUUCGAUUUAUAAACAGCAUUGCUUGUAACACAGUCAGCUGCUGAACAAUUCAUCUCUCGAUUAAAGAAUAUAGUAUUGCAGCUGUAGCUGGAAUAUCUACAAACGUAGACAAUAAAAGGCGAGCCCGAGAAGGCAAAAGAGGCAGGAAAAAUGAUGACGGGAGCGGUCAUCAUCUCAUCCUCGGCGUUCCAACCUACGCACACGGUAGCAAUUUAAAUCCAAUUGCGGCAAAUCAGUCGGGACUGGACGAUGGAGCCAGCACGAGAAAAUAACCACAGAUAUAAAAACCCACACGAUCACUUGCUGAUCUCUUUCUUUUUUACAUGUUAUUCACGACCGAGGUAAAAAACAUUACAGCUUACGGCCAUCCGUGUUCUAGUCAUCAUCAUCGUUUUCCAGUCCAUUCUUUGAAUUCUUUCAGCUUCAACGGACGUGAGUAAUAUUUGAAAUUGUUGGAUAGCUCGUUGGUUUCUGACCCGCCCCGUUCUAUUUUUCUGAUGUUUUCAAAUUCCUUUCGAAAGUUCAUAUUGAUUGACGACUGUUGCCUCUAAUUUGCCUCGCGUUUUGGAAGUGUUUCUUUGUUUGCAGUCGCCCUCGUUCUGUUUUUAUUUUUAUUCUUUCCAAAACAAAUCUUGUUUGAUUUGUGAGCUUAUUAUUUUUUUUAAAAAGGGCGAUUCAUAUAAAAGAAAAGAAACAGUUUUGUUUGUGACUUGUUCGCUUCAAGUGGACGCGGGAUUGAAAACAGAUUGUGAUUUCGACAGACAGGGCGAAGAGUCAUGGUCCAUGUGUUUUGUCUGUGUGUGCGGACACUUGGCUGCUGAUAAGGUGUGUCGAACUUGGGAGGACGACUGUGAAUAUUGUAGACCCAGUGAAGACAGAGUGUGAAAGCUAUCGACACGCUCCAGCGCUAUACAGCUUGACUUUCUGUUGCUGCUGUCUCUCUCGUCCCUUGUCUCGAUAAAAAUGCUUCAAAAGAUAACACAAAUGCCAAAGUCCCCCUUGAAAUAUUCAACACACCACCACCACUAUAAUGUAGGGAAUAUGCUGAGAGUUGUUCACAGCACACCCUCAUUCUUCCUUGUCUACGAUUGUGGACUGCUUUUUAAAAAGAGCACCAAUGUACAUUUUAGGCCUUUUUAUUUUAUUAUGUCGACCAAAUCGACCGCGAUAAUGUACACAGUGCGAAUGAUUUGUGCAAAAUGAAAGGUAAGCGCUGAUGUGUGGCGAAAGGACGACCUUAUUUUAUUUACAAUUGAAAAAAGAAAAAAACAGGUCAAUAUGAAAUGUCCAUAUAAAAUUAAAAUAAUAAUUUAUUCUCAUAUUCCUAUAUUGGGGCGGUAUAAAAUUCAGAUGUCUGGUUAUGAUAAAUAGAUUUACCCACCUUUUGUCGGAACAUGAAAGAGAGUGUUUCGUACAAGAAAAUGUCAUUUUAUAAUUCUCUUCUCGGAGAAGAACCUGGUUAUCUUAUUAGAGAGGAUGCUCUAAAAAAACCAAGCGUCUUAUCAAAAUUCAAACCGGGCUAAUAAAAAUCCAUCAACAGACUGAACGCGCGCGAUGGAUGUCUUCCCAUUGUCCUGUGCAUCGUCGAGAGAUAGAGUCCUCGGAGCGCUUGUCGUCUGGCGUCGUUAUGUUAUGGAACACCGCCACAUUUGUCUCUUCUUUAUUAUUUUUUUUUCUUUCGUUCUUAUGUUGAAGAAGAAGAAGAAAAAAUAUGUGUAUAUAGAUGAGGGAACCUUUUGGCUGCUGCUGCUGAUGUUCCAGACGUUGAGGGAUAUAGAUGAGAGAUCGAGUCCCCCCCCCCUUCAGCUAGAAAAACCUUUAAAAAAAAAUAACCCCCCUCCGAAAAAAAUCUCGAAAGGGCUUGUCAGAUUUCAAACAUAAGCGAAGUCAGUCAAGUGUACGAGGGGAGGUUAUAUAGCCUUUGCGAAGGCCAGCAGGGACUACAUAGCUUUAGAAUAAGAAAGAAAAUCACCAUUUUUCUUCUUCGACGGUAGUAGUAGGAGUUCCAGCGUACAGAUCCAGUGUCAACAAUUUAAAAGAAGAAGAAGAAGAAAAAAAAUGGGGAAAAAAAAAAAAAAAAAAUGGGUAUAUGUACAUACACUGUAACCUCCGAGGCCGGCAACCAAACAACAAGAGAGCCGGAGCCGCCAGAAAAGUUGGCCUGGCCCCUAUACGUUUUCCCCUCUUAGAGCUGCUCGUGCUUGAAUCACGCGAUCGACGAUUCAGAAAAAGAUAAUGAAAUUCUUUUUUUUCUCCCUUUUACCAUCACUGAAUUACCCCUAGCAAGAUUCCUUUGAAGAUUUUCUCUUCUUUUUUCUUGGUUGGGCUAUUUGACUAUCAAAUAGCUGAGGUAAUGAUUGACAGCUACUUCAUGAUGAGCGGGUUUGAUAUUUUCUUUCGCUGUGUUAGGUGUAUGUAAGCUGAGGAUGGAUUUGAAUAACUAUUGGUAGACUAGGCCUCCCAUCAAAUCGAAAUGAAUGUUCGGGAAUCUAAAGACAUCAUUAUGCAAGGCAAUAAACUUGUAUAGUACACAAUACCGAUAACAAGGGACCCUGUGUUGAACUGUGUUAUUUCUUGUGUGUGUUGACACGUGUGCCAGUACUGGCACGGCCAGCAAGAAUGAGACGACUCUGUUUCUGUUGUGAUGUUCCCCAUCAGCGGAUCCGAUGACCCCAAACAAUCUUCAAAAUGAAAAUGUGUUUUUCUCAGCCCGCCUGACUGGUAUGUUCACUACUAACAUCUCUCGUUCCAACGGUUCAACAUGCACUCGAGAAACGAAGAAAACCUUAAGCAAAUAUUUGUUUUUUAUCAGGACCCUUGCCGUUCCUUUUUUUCCCGCCUCCUAACUAAAAAAAAGAAAAGGAAGAAGAAUAUACAUAUGGAUAUGUCAAUAUGUCAUAUCUUGGAAUAGUAUGUACAUAAUAUGAACGCUACAGCCAUAUUGUCAUGCUGGGCAAACAUAUAUAUGUAUAUUUUUUUAUUUUCAUUCUUCGUACCAUCUUGUUAGAUGCCAUACCGUGAAGUUCUCGAUCAACUCAUAUAAUGUCCCAUUUAGCUCUGCUUCGUGAACCGGACUAUUUAUUUCCUUUUUUUUUUGAGACAACGAAAAGAAACACAAUGGGUUGCCGUGUCUUCUAGUUUGUUGUCUUCCACGAGGGAUUCUGUCUAGAAAGCUGAUUCUAGAAACUAGAAGGCGAUACAGUAUUUUUAAAGUGUUUAGCGAUAAUUUUGCCAAUAGAUGGCGGUUGCGGUUUUCGGGACCAAUUGCGGGGAGAGGGUUUAUUAAUGUAUUAUACUUUUUAGUUUUUCGUGUAAUUUUCACCCAAAUUGAUAUAAUGUGGCUAAUAUGGCGGUCAGGGUGACAUCGCGUUACAUUUUUUGUGUUUUCUAAUUAAAAGCAUAAAACAAACAAAGCUCGAAUCAAGUUCAAUUUUUUUGUCACUAGAUGGCUGGCUGGUAAAACUUCUUGUUCCUUUCUAGAGGCCGUGAGCUUCUUUUGACAGGCAUGAUCUCAUCACGAUAUAAUAGCAAGGUAUAAACGGCGGGUGUUUACUAAGUGGUUCCAGGAUUCCCCGCUAGGUUCGCUAGACUAGCAGGCCGGUCGUCUACAGGGGUGAUAGGGCAAAACACCUUUUUUAUUUUUAGAAUUUUUUAUUAUCAGUUCGUGUUGCUAGAAAAGUGAAUCCACUAGGGCUCCUUUUUAUUUCCGAUUUUUUGGGACCAGAAUUAAAAUGACGGUGCAAUUUGGGAAUUUUUUAUUUAUGUUUUAAAUUCCCCUAUUUUGAAAAAUUGCGCGGUUUGCGGCGUUGCCUAAUUCUUUGUUUAUCUCAAAGCAGAAACAUAUCGUAUAUGGUGUCAGUAGGGCUCGGCCCCGAUCACAUUCUAAUCGGGGACACCGCUAAGCUUCCCCGAUAAAAAUGAAUCGGGGGAGUUCGGUGCGGAACGGUGCUAUAAUCGGCACCGCUAGCCUUUAAUAGAGGCUAGCGCCCCCCUAUGGCCCCCUUCAGCCAUAGGGGGUUAGUCUUACCAGUGACCUUGCGUUCUGAUAGGCCAACGAGAAUCACGUGACUUGCGUCACAUUUUGUUCUUGUUGGCCGCAGGGCAACUGCCAAUUUAGAUCACUUAUUCAUUGGUAAUCGGGGAAGGCACCGAUCCCGAUAUCACCGCACCGAGCACCGAAAUCACCGAACCGAUAAAGAUCAUCCCCGCACCCAAUCGACUAAUAAGUUCCCCGAUUGGCGCGGGGCCGAGCGCUAGGUGUCAGCCAGUAUCAAAAACGUCUAAUCGGCCGAGUCUGUCUCCCGCUCUCUCCCACUCACAGCCACUGCCUCACUGGUCGAAUAAUCAAUACAAAACAUAAUGUUGAAAGAACUAGGCAAAACAUAGGCCUCCAAGGAUAACGGAAACUACGCGAACAUCUACGGAACGCCGUUUCCAUUUGUUUAUAGACAACUCUUAUCGCUAGCUGAUCGUUUCUGUAGCAAAUAAAUAGCUAACUAGCACUGCCAUCUUUAUAUUAAUCUAUUAUUAUUAUAUUUAUUAUCUUUAUAUUAAUCUAUAAUUAAUAAUUUUACUUAAUUUAAUAAGGAUCACGAAAAUCCUACUCAUUUUGUUAUGGGAUCAGUAUUUCCUGAUAUAUUGGCUACUUCCGGUUACUUCCGGAAAAUGUCCUUGACAAUAUACAAAAAGUAAAAAAUGAGCUUUAAUGUUCUAACAAUUUCAAAUACUUUUCUCGCAUUCGUUAGGGUGUGGUAGCUAUUAUUUCGUGUUUUUCUUGCUUUCAACACUACAGGCUGAUCCUACGAGCUACGACAGUUUUACCUACAAAUGUUUAGCCGUUUCGUGCUGCAACUAGUAGUCUAUUUUCUAGGAUGUAAUGCCUAAAAUUGGAAUUCAGCUAUCAGAGAUUAACAAAAUUCAAGCGAAAACUCUAGAUGGCGUUUUUGUGCGUUUAUGAUGAAGAUUAUGAGUGACAAGUUAAAUGGGUGUUUGUUACGUUACGCUGUUAUGUGUUUCAAAGGAUUUUUCGUCAAAAAAUUUACGAUUGCUUUUUGUCUGUUGGUGUUUCGCCUUGUCAGCUAUGCUAGCUGCUGAACCAGCAGCCUGCAUUCCUGCUAUCAAUGUACCACAAGACAUCCUGACACUUUGAGAAGGCACUAUUGCUUACAUGAAGAUCACCAUCCAGUUCAAGUACUGUUAAUGGACCUCAAGCCUUUUGUUUAAGCUUAGUGAUGUGUUCUCUCGUUAGUCAACGACUGAGACUUCAUCUACUUUGUGUUGCUAACCAUCCACCCUCAGCAUCCCAGGUAUCCAGAUUUCCAAGUUUCUCUGAUUAGCCAACCAUCAUCAAAACCCUUCAGCUCUUCAAUGUGGCUUCUCUUCCUCUCUUCUUGAUCUGCUGAAUGCCAACAUUGAAUAAGAUUCAUCAUCAUUGCCUUUCCAUGCCAGCUCACAUGGAUAGGCUUUAACAGCAUCUCCAUUUUUUGGACUGCAAAUAUUCAUCUUCCUUCGGUAUGACACUGCCGUUUUGACAAUUUCGGUAGUUUCGCCCCCAGUGGACCACACGCAACUACAUUUUCUUCGUCUUCCUGUCGUUUUUGUCUACGACUUCACCUCAUCGCUGUCUUCGUUGAUGUCUUCGCCUUCAUCUCCGUCUCGUCGUCUUAGUCGUCUUCGCCUUCAUCUCCGUCUCGUCGUCUUAGUCGUCUUCGCCUUCAUCUCCGUCUCGUCGUCUUAGUCG